rnacentral:rRNA from 1 species
CAGUCGCCACGGUAAGACAGAGGUGCCAAGCGUUAGGCGGAAUCACUGGGCUUAAAGCGUGUGUAGGUGGAUGCCUAAGUACCUUGUGAAAUCCCACGGCUCAACCGUGGAACUGCUCGGUAUACUGGGUGUCUUGAGGCAACUAGGGGCUACCGGAACAAGUGGUGGAGCGGUGAAAUGCGUAGAUAUCACUUGGAACGCCAAUGGUGAAAACAGGUGGCUGGGUUUGUUCUGACACUGAGACACGAAAGCUAGGGGAGCAAACGGGAUUAGAUACCCCGGUAGUCCCUGUCUCUUAUAC